rnacentral:rRNA from 1 species
AGAGUUUGAUCCUGGCUCAGGAUGAACGCUAGCGGCAGGCUUAAUACAUGCAAGUCGAGGGGCAGCACGGGUAGCAAUACCUGGUGGCGACCGGCAAACGGGUGCGGAACACGUACGCAACCUUCCCAUAACUGGUGAAUAGCCUUCCGAAAGGGAGAUUAAUACACCGUAACAUAAUGAAGUGGCAUCACUUUAUUAUUAUAGGCUUCGGCCGGUUUUGGAUGGGCGUGCGCCUGAUUAGGUAGUUGGCGGGGUAACGGCCCACCAAGCCUGCGAUCAGUAACUGGUGUGAGAGCACGACCAGUCACACGGGCACUGAGACACGGGCCCGACUCCUACGGGAGGCAGCAGUAAGGAAUAUUGGUCAAUGGACGAAAGUCUGAACCAGCCAUGCCGCGUGAAGGGUGAAGGCCCUCUGGGUUGUAAACUUCUUUUAUCUGGGACGAAAAAAGGGGAUUCUUCCUCACUUGACGGUACCAGAGGAAUAAGCACCGGCUAACUCCGUGCCAGCAGCCGCGGUAAUACGGAGGGUGCAAGCGUUAUCCGGAUUUACUGGGUUUAAAGGGUGCGUAGGUGGGCAGGUAAGUCAGUGGUGAAAUCUCCGAGCUUAACUCGGAAACUGCCAUUGAUACUAUUUGUCUUGAAUAUUCUGGAGGUGAGCGGAAUAUGUCAUGUAACGGUGAAAUGCUUA